rnacentral:rRNA from 1 species
GGGCGCACCAGGCGCGAAAACUUUACAAUGCUGGAAACAGCGAUAAGGGGACCUCGAGUGCCAGGUUACAAAUCUGGCUGUCGUGAUGCCUAAAAAGCAUUGCAUAGCAAGGGCCGGGCAAGACCGGUGCCAGCCGCCGCGGUAACACCGGCGGCUCGAGUGGUAACCGUUAUUAUUGGGUCUAAAGGGUCUGUAGCCGGCCGGAUAAGUCUCUUGGGAAAUCCAGCAGCUCAACUGUUGGGCUUUCAGGAGAUACUGUCUGGCUCGAGGCCGGGAGAGGUGAGAGGUACUUCAGGGGUAGGGGUGAAAUCUUGUAAUCCUUGAAGGACCACCAGUGGCGAAGGCGUCUCACCAGAACGGACCUGACGGCAAGGGACGAAAGCUAGGGGCACGAACCGGAUUAGAUACCCGGGUAGUCCUAGCCGUAAACGAUACUCGCUAGGUGUCGGCCACGGUGCGACCGUUGUCGGUGCCGUAGGGAAGCCGUGAAGCGAGCCACCUGGGAAGUACGGCCGCAAGGCGGAAACUUAAAGGAAUUGGCGGGGGAGCAC